CCUUUAGUGGGGACAACAUAUGGAAACGUAUGCUAAUACCGAAUAUGCUCUACGGAGUAAAGGUGCCCUCUCCUUGGAAGGUAUCGCUAAAGGAUGAGCCCGCGUUAGAUUAGCUAGUUGGUAAGGUAAAGGCUUACCAAGGCGACGAUCUAUAGCUGGUUUGAGAGGAUGAUCAGCCACACUGGAACUGAGACACGGUCCAGACUCCUACGGGAGGCAGCAGUGGGGAAUAUUGCACAAUGGACGCAAGUCUGAUGCAGCCAUACCGCGUGUGUGAAGAAGGCCCGAGGGUUGUAAAGCACUUUCAAUAGCGAGGAAGAUAGUGUAGUUAAUACCUGCAUUGUUUGACGUUAACUAUAGAAGAAGCACCGGCUAACUCUGUGCCAGCAGCCGCGGUAAUACAGAGGGUGCAAGCGUUAUUCGGAAUUACUGGGCGUAAAGCGCGCGUAGGCGGAUUAUUAAGUCAGUUGUGAAAGCCCUGGGCUCAACCUAGGAACUGCAUCUGAUACUGGUAAUCUAGAGUUUAAGAGAGGGAAGUGGAAUUCCAGGUGUAGCAGUGAAAUGCGUAGAUAUCUGGAGGAACAUCAGUGGCGAAGGCGACUUCCUGGCUUAAAACUGACGCUGAGGUGCGAAAGCGUGGGUAGCGAACGGGAUUAGAUACCCCGGUAGUCCACGCCGUAAACGAUGUCAACUARCUGUUGGCCUGAU
rnacentral:rRNA from 1 species